rnacentral:rRNA from 2 species
CAUGGCUCAGGACGAACGCUGGCGGCGUGCCUAAUACAUGCAAGUCGAGCGGACAGAAGGGAGCUUGCUCCCGGAAGUCAGCGGCGGACGGGUGAGUAACACGUAGGUAACCUGCCCCUUAGACUGGGAUAACUCCGGGAAACCGGAGCUAAUACGGGAUAAUAAAGAGAAUCACCUGAUUCUCUUUUGAAAGACGGUUUCGGCUGUCACUAAGGGAUGGGCCUGCGGCGCAUUAGCUAGUUGGUAAGGUAACGGCUUACCAAGGCGACGAUGCGUAGCCGACCUGAGAGGGUGAUCGGCCACACUGGGACUGAGACACGGCCCAGACUCCUACGGGAGGCAGCAGUAGGGAAUCUUCCGCAAUGGACGAAAGUCUGACGGAGCAACGCCGCGUGAGUGAGGAAGGCCUUCGGGUCGUAAAGCUCUGUUGUGAGGGAAGAACAAGUACCGGCGUAACUACCGGUACCUUGACGGUACCUCACCAGAAAGCCACGGCUAACUACGUGCCAGCAGCCGCGGUAAUACGUAGGUGGCAAGCGUUGUCC